GUCGAGUUGUGACGCUGCACAUCAGUUCAUUGAUAGACAACGGUCCUUGAUGUCAGAGGGGAAAGGGCAAGGUUUGGUGUGUUGGGCCAGGGAGCUGGCAUGAUGGUGGCUGCCAUGUGUGAGUUAAGAGCUGGUUGCCCCAUGGAUUGCACCACAUGGUCUGGUCUUCCCUGCCUACAAACCAGGUGUGACAUACCAAUAGUGAUUACUGUGAACAGAACAGAACAGAACAAAGAAGAACAGAAGAGAGAACAGAAGAAACUUCCGAGAAUCAAGAAAUGACUUACACUGCAUGGACCAAAGCUGAAGUUUGCCAUUGGCUUCAAAAAGAGGGGUUUGCUGAUUACUGCAAGACAUUUUCUGGUGGGGUAUAAUGAAUUUUCAGUGUCAACAUUGUCCGAUUAAAUCCAGAACACAAAAGAGAUACCUGAAACAUCUAGAAAUAUAUCAUGAAAGUGAACCGAGCUUCGUUGUUGAAUGCUGCCAAAAUGGAUGCCCCAGUACUUAUACCAAAAUAUCAUCCCUUCGAAAACACAUAAACCGGAAGCACAGAACUACAGUUCAAGAGGAAAAUGCUGAAGUUCAGAGAAAUGGUGAAGAUCAUUUUGAAGAAGAGCCCCACAUGGAGACUUCUCCCUCUCUUUUAGAGAAAUUGGCAGCAGUGAAAAGAAACUUAAAAAGAGAUCUCACCUUUUUUAUGCUCAAGCUUCAAGUUCACACAUUACCUCAAGUGAUAAAGACAACUCUUGCUGAAGAUGUUGGGGAGCUUUUUCACAAAUUCAGUGAGCAAUAUCAGAACUACUAAAAAUAUGUCUGGAGGAAAAGGCAGAAGUUGAACAAAACCUCAAUAUCCUUUUGGAGGAUAACAUAUUUGACUCAUUUUUUGAGGACAUUAAUAGUGAAUAUAAGUUCUAUCAGUGCUGCAUCAAUAACUCUGGCCUUUUAGAGCCAAUUGAGUAUCUGCUUGGACACAAUUCACAUGGG